UAGGGAAUCUUCCGCAAUGGACGCAAGUCUGACGGAGCAACGCCGCGUGAGUGAAGAAGGAUUUCGGUUCGUAAAACUCUGUUGUUAGAGAAGAACAGCGCAUAGAGUAACUGUUAUGCGUGUGACGGUAUCUAACCAGAAAGCCACGGCUAACUACGUGCCAGCAGCCGCGGUAAUACGUAGGUGGCAAGCGUUGUCCGGAUUUAUUGGGCGUAAAGCGAGCGCAGGCGGUCAAUUAAGUCUGAUGUGAAAGCCCCCGGCUCAACCGGGGAGGGUCAUUGGAAACUGGUUGACUUGAGUGCAGAAGAGGAGAGUGGAAUUCCAUGUGUAGCGGUGAAAUGCGUAGACAUAUGGAGGAACACCAGUGGCGAAGGCGACUCUCUGGUCUGUAACUGACGCUGAGGUUCGAAAGCGUGGGUAGCAAACAGG
rnacentral:rRNA from 1 species